rnacentral:rRNA from 1 species
CUACGGGACGCUCCAGUAAGGAAUAUUGCACAAUGGGGGAAACCCUGAUGCAGCAACGCCGCGUGGACGAGGAAGGCCUUCGGGUCGUAAAGUCCUUUUCUGAGGGAAGAGGAAGGACGGUACCUCAGGAAUAAGUCUCGGCUAACUACGUGCCAGCAGCCGCGGUAAAACGUAGGAGGCGAGCGUUAUCCGGAUUCACUGGGCGUAAAGGGCAAGUAGGCGGUUGUUUACGUUAGGUGUGACAUCUCUCGGCUUAACUGGGAGGGAGCGCUUAAAACUAGGCAACUAGAGGGCGGAAGAAGGGGGUAGAACUCCAAAUGUAGCGGUGGAAUGCUCAGAUAUUUGGAAGAAUACCAGUGGCGAAGGCGACCCCCCGGUCCGUGCCUGACGCUGAGAGGCGAAAGCUAGGGUAGCGAACGGGAUUAGAUACCCCUGUAGUC